ensembl:lncRNA
GAAUGAGAGAAAUAGAAAAUCGACAUUAGGCAAACACCACGGUAAUACCUGUCCCAAACAAGAGCUACCGAUGAUUCCUCAGAUUAACAGCCAAAAGUUUUGAGACAGCUUAUUACUCAAAUAUCUCCCCCAAGAUAUUUUUUAAUUACAAAGGGAUUAGUAGUAACUUCAUGGUGGAGAAACUUGACCAAAAUACCUUAAACAAGUGAUGUCGGCAUAAGAUAGAACACUGUUGACGUUGAGAAAUGAGACAGAGUACAUGGGAACCCCAGACCAUACAAAACACAGGCAGUGAAGAUGAACUCACUGCUCUCGUGGGCCAGUUGUACCACUUGACGGUCCCACCAGAAAUGCACGAAGAGUUCCAUUGCCUCGGAAUCUUUCUCAUCACUCAGUGGGGUCAGAACUUACGUAGUUACUCCAGUGCAAAGGUGGAUUCUGGCAAACUCCAUCAGUCAGUGAUCUUACCAAGGAAAUGAACAGAACUUAGCUGCUAAAUGUCCUCUGAGCCCGUGUACACAACCCUGCAAAUAAAG